CAAACUCUUACCAGAACUGUGCAUAGAAUUUACAGAAAUGUUUAAAAGGUUUGCCAUUGUCGAUAUUCAAUUGUUCAUAGACUUUCAUCAGGAUUGUCCAAGUUUCAUAUAUUACAUCAAGUCAUAGGUGUAGUCGAUCUCCUCGUGUGGUGAAAAGAAGGUAAGUCCAAUCCCCAGCAGAAGAAACAAAUAUGUACAAACUACUUUUACAUGGUAUCAAGAUCUACAACAUCACCACACUUCUCACGGAAUCAUGAAUGUGCUUUAAGCAACUUUUGGUAGACCAAGUCGAUAAACUGAUUGUCCUGAACAAGCAUUAGAAGCACGUCUUGAACCUUCUCUCUGCUUAGUGUCACACUUUGUGGAGGAAUCUGAGUAGAAGUGAGAAAUGGAGGCGAAGUAGGUGUUCGGAAGGGUUGAACUAGAAGUGUACCAUGUGGGCGUUGUGGAUUCACAUGAGGAUAAAGGACGGGAGUUGAUGUAGCUGAGGAGACAGAAGUUGUCACCAAUACAGGUGACACAGGGGGUGUAAAGAAAGAAGGCUUCACAAGAUUUGCAGGGUAAUUAGUACUAUUGAUCAGGUUAGCAGAAUCGCGGCGUGACUGUCGAGGAGGUGAUGGAGCUGACUGAACAGGUAAUGAGACUUGCGAAAUUGGAGCAGGAGAAGGCAGGGGACUUGGAACUCGGGGUGAUGGAUCAAAAGUUGGAACUGGAUAAUGAUAUGGCAGUCCGGAGUUCACAACAGUCGAAGAGGUAUGCCCAAUAGUUGCAGCACUAUUGAAAAAGUUCAUAAAGGAAGAAUCAUCAGCACCAAACCCAUCCGUAGAGGUGGUAAAUGCUGGUCCAGAUGUCCCUUCUAUUGCUGUACUCAUUGGGACCACCUCAUGAUCUGCAAACUCACUUUUUCUUAGCUGUGGCUUCAGGGGAACCUUUGAGUAUUCACCUAAAAUUCUGGAAUCCACCACAUCAAAGUAAAAUUAUACAAGUUGCAGAUUAUGCGCCAUGAUUACGUAAGAAAAAUGACCCAAUUACUUCACAUGCCCUGCCGAAGAGAUCUGCAACCUCCUCAAUUUCAUGUGCAUUGUAAAACCAAAUACCAUUGACUUCUUGGGCUGCAUUGCGAUACAACAAGUAUGGAACCUGAACCUCAAACUCAAAGUCUCCCAAGAGAUCUUCCACCAUAUUUUCUGCACUCCUGCGGUUCAUAACAAUGAACUGGAACCUUGGCUGAGCACUCCUCUUAACUACAAAGAAAGAACCUUCAACCUCCUUGCGGCUCCAUUGAUUGAGGUCUACGUUGAACUCGUACAACGUAACAUGAGCAGCUGUGAUGAGGAUCUCCUCAAUACGCGGAUCGAUUCUCUGUAGCACAGUGAGGUUUAGCAUCUUCGUACUUCGCUCAUCCAGAUUCGGCAUUAACUUUGAAUUCGACGACAUCUUCUUCUAGAACUUUCCGAUUGAUCGUACAGAAGCAGAUAGAUUAUAG
rnacentral:misc_RNA from 1 species